rnacentral:rRNA from 2 species
GUUAAAACUCAAAUGAAUUGACGGGGGCCCGCACAAGCGGUGGAGCAUGUGGUUUAAUUCGAUGCAACGCGAAGAACCUUACCUGGUCUUGACAUCCACAGAAGAAUCCAGAGAUGGAUUUGUGCCUUCGGGAACUGUGAGACAGGUGCUGCAUGGCUGUCGUCAGCUCGUGUUGUGAAAUGUUGGGUUAAGUCCCGCAACGAGCGCAACCCUUAUCCUUUGUUGCCAGCGAUUAGGUCGGGAACUCAAAGGAGACUGCCAGUGAUAAACUGGAGGAAGGUGGGGAUGACGUCAAGUCAUCAUGGCCCUUACGACCAGGGCUACACACGUGCUACAAUGGCGCAUACAAAGAGAAGCGACCUCGCGAGAGCAAGCGGACCUCAUAAAGUGCGUCGUAGUCCGGAUUGGAGUCUGCAACUCGACUCCAUGAAGUCGGAAUCGCUAGUAAUCGUGGAUCAGAAUGCCACGGUGAAUACGUUCCCGGGCCUUGUACACACCGCCCGUCACACCAUGGGAGUGGGUUGCAAAAGAAGUAGGUAGCUUAACCUUCGGGAGGGCGCUUACCACUUUGUGAUUCAUGACUGGGGUGAAGUCGUAACAAGGUAACCGUAGGGGAACCUGCGGUUGGAUCACCUCCUUACCUUAAAGAAGC